rnacentral:rRNA from 1 species
UACGAGAGGCCCAAACGUUAUUCGGAUUUACUGGGCUUAAAGAGUUCGUAGGCGGCGCAGAAAGUAGGGUGUGAAAUCCCUCGGCUUAACCGGGGAACUGCGUCUGAUACUGGAUGGCUUGAGUUCGGGAGAGGAAUGCGGAAUUCCAGGUGUAGCGGUGAAAUGCGUAGAUAUCUGGAGGAACACCGGUGGCGAAGGCGGCAUCCUGGACCGACACUGACGCUGAGGAGCGAAAGCCAGGGGAGCAAAACGGGG